rnacentral:rRNA from 1 species
UGAGGAAUAUUGGUCAAUGGGCGCAGGCCUGAACCAGCCAAGUCGCGUGAGGGAAGACGGUCCUACGGAUUGUAAACCUCUUUUGUCGGGGAGUAACGUGCGGGACGGGUCCCGUAUUGAGAGUACCCGAAGAAAAAGCAUCGGCUAACUCCGUGCCAGCAGCCGCGGUAAUACGGAGGAUGCGAGCGUUAUCCGGAUUUAUUGGGUUUAAAGGGUGCGUAGGUGGUUUCUUAAGUCAGCGGUGAAAGUUUGUGGCUUAACCAUAAAAUUGCCAUUGAUACUGGGAGACUUGAGUAUGUUUGAGGUAGGCGGAAUGCGUGGUGUAGCGGUGAAAUGCACAGAUAUCACGCAGAACUCCGAUUGCGAAGGCAGCUUGCCAAGCCAUAACUGACACUGAAGCACGAAAGCGUGGGUAUCAAACAGGAUUAGAUACCCUGGUAGU